rnacentral:rRNA from 1 species
GUGGGUAGUUUGACUGGGGCGGUCUCCUCCCAAAGCGUAACGGAGGAGCACGAAGGUUAGCUAAUCCUGGUCGGACAUCAGGAGGUUAGUGCAAUGGCAUAAGCUAGCUUGACUGCGAGCGUGACGGCGCGAGCAGGUGCGAAAGCAGGUCAUAGUGAUCCGGUGGUUCUGAAUGGAAGGGCCAUCGCUCAACGGAUAAAAGGUACUCCGGGGAUAACAGGCUGAUACCGCCCAAGAGUUCAUAUCGACGGCGGUGUUUGGCACCUCGAUGUCGGCUCAUCACAUCCUGGGGCUGAAGUAGGUCCCAAGGGUAUGGCUGUUCGCCAUUUAAAGUGGUACGCGAGCUGGGUUUAGAACGUCGUGAGACAGUUCGGUCCCUAUCUGCCGUGGGCGCUGGAGAAUUGAGGGGGGCUGCUCCUAGUACGAGAGGACCGGAGUGGACGCAUCACUGGUGUUCGGGU